GUCUAUAGCCGCACCGUCCUGAACAUGCCCAUUCUCAUCUGAUCUCAGAAGCUAAGCUUGGUCAGGCCUGGUUGGUACUUGGAUGGAGGAAGUGCUGGGGAUA
rnacentral:rRNA from 1 species